GAUGAACGCUAGCUACAGGCUUAACACAUGCAAGUCGAGGGGUAACGAGAGGGAAGCUUGCUUUCCUUGUCGACGACCGGCGCACGGGUGAGUAACGCGUAUCCAACCUGCCCCCAACUAGGGAAUAACCUUGCGAAAGUAAGACUACUACCCUAUACUUUCAUCAGAUGUCAUCUGACGAGGAAUAAAGAUUUAUCGGUUGUGGAUGGGGCUGCGUCUGAUCAGCUUGUUGGCGGGGUAACGGCCCACCAAGGCAACGAUCAGUAGGGGGUCUGAGAGGAAGGUCGCCCAGAUAGGAACUGAGACACGGUCCAGACUCCUCCGGGGGGGAGCAGUGAGGAAGAUUGGUCAAUGGGCGGAAGCCUGAACCAGCCGAGUAGCGUGCAGGAUGACGGCCCUAUGGGUUGUAAACUGCUUUUAUACAGGAAUAAAGUUAGCCACGUGUGGUUAUUUGUAGGUACUGUAUGAAUAAGGACCGGCUAAUUCCGUGCCAGCCGCCGCAGUAA
rnacentral:rRNA from 1 species